CUACCUGCAGUCGAACGCGAAAGCACUUCGGUGUGAGUAGAGUGGCGGACGGGUGAGUAACGCGUGGGAAUCUACCUAGUAGUGGAGGAUAACUCGGGGAAACUCGAGCUAAUACUGCAUACGCCCUACGGGGGAAAGCGGGGGAUCUUCGGACCUCGUGCUAUUGGAUGAGCCCGCGUUAGAUUAGCUUGUUGGUGAGGUAAUGGCUCACCAAGGCGACGAUCUAUAGCUGGUCUGAGAGGAUGAUCAGCCACAUUGGGACUGAGACACGGCCCAAACUCCUACGGGAGGCAGCAGUGGGGAAUAUUGCGCAAUGGGCGAAAGCCUGACGCAGCCAUGCCGCGUGUGUGAAGAAGGCCUUCGGGUUGUAAAGCACUUUCAAUAGGGAGGAAAGGUUGUAGUUUAAUACGCUGCAACUGUGACGUUACCUAUAGAAGAAGGACCGGCUAACUCCGUGCCAGCAGCCGCGGUAAUACGGAGGGUCCGAGCGUUAAUCGGAAUUACUGGGCGUAAAGCGCGCGUAGGCGGCUUUGUUAGUCAGAUGUGAAAGCCCUGGGCUCAACCUAGGAACUGCAUUUGAUACUGCGAAGCUAGAGUAUGGUAGAGGAUAGUGGAAUUCCAGGUGUAGCGGUGAAAUGCGUAGAUAUCUGGAGGAACAUCAGUGGCGAAGGCGACUGUCUGGACCAAUACUGACGCUGAGGUGCGAAAGCGUGGGGAGCAAACAGGAUUAGAUACCCUGGUAGUCCACGCCGUAAACGAUGUCUACUAGCCGUUGGGGAACUUGAUUCUUUAGUGGCGCAGCUAACGCACUAAGUAGACCGCCUGGGGAGUACGGCCGCAAGGUUAAAACUCAAAUGAAUUGACGGGGGCCCGCACAAGCGGUGGAGCAUGUGGUUUAAUUCGAUGCAACGCGAAGAACCUUACCAGGUCUUGACAUCCUGCGAAUUUCUAGAGAUA
rnacentral:rRNA from 1 species